ensembl:lncRNA novel transcript
GAGGUUGCUUAGGAAACCACCCCACAAUGGCAGGAGACACCAUGAGAUGUUUUCUACUGUAGAAACUUUCUCAUUAGAAAUAGCCCAUUUAUACAGGGGACUGGCUAAUGUUUUUCUAUGAGUAUCAUUAGCCAGUGUCUCAAAGUGGUGAAGAGUAAGUAUAUAGCAUCUUUCAAAAGACUGCAACCUGGAACAAGGAGAGACAAAGGGAAGGAGGAGUCUGGAGCCAUAUUGAAGAUGAAAUUGAGAUAUGGACUAGGUGGUGGAUCGUUUUUAUAAGAGGACAUAAAAGAGGAUGCUAAAGCUAAUUGCCACAAUCAGAACUCAAAGACCUAGCAAAUGCAAGGUGGUAUUUAUUCUAAACUCAGCAAAGUAGUAGAAAAAUAGUUUUGAGAACAGUUUUAAGGAGACUAGGGUAACAGUGAGAAAAUAGUUCAUGGCUAGUCUGGACUUAGGACUUUAGGGUCGGCCUGGUGAAUUGAAGGGAAGCAGCUGAUACACUCUGGUUGCCUUGUACCCUGGCUUUUGGUGCUUUCCCAUGUGCUGUAGUCAUCAGUAAUCUGGAGGAAAUGCUAUAGAGGCAAAGACACCAUUAGAUGGGUGCUCAACUAGCAAACAGGAUGUGACCACAGAGUAGUUACCCCAAGACCAGGUCAGCAUGACCCAAAAGGCAGAAGAGGACAAGGUUUAUGAGUGUUGGGCUGAGCUCACGCCUGCUUGAACAUCUCAAGAACAAUGUUAAUGAUGGAAGAGAGAGAUAGGAGAGGAAACUCAUUAAACUUGCCAAAUAUGAGAUGUAGCUGGGUUGGCUCUAUGUAAGCAUGGCAGAAAAGCAUUUAGAAGUCAUAAUACAUUUAAAAUAAGAGCUACCAGCAUAGCAGUGACAUGAAGAAGGCAUGUGUUUUGUUAAAAAGUUUUAAAUACUCCUAUAAAAGAUAGUAAGGUACAAGUUGUUUGCUUGAUCAGCAAUGCUAAUUGCCUUUGAAGUGCAUGCCUGGGGAUUCCAUGGAGAGAGGACCCUGUUUCUCCACCCCAACCCAAAUUCACUGAGUUUAUGUCAGAAUGUUCAGAAGCCCCUUUACAAAUUCCUCUGAUUGCCUUGUUAGACACUGGCCACCUCCCUGAACCUGGGCCAAGAUGAGGGUCUACACCUUGGCUUAGUUCUACUAUGAAAGACUUUCCUGCAGUAAAAGUUACCUGUCUGAAACAUUCAGAAGAGUGAAAAUGCCACAUCUCCAAUUUCCAGCAAUAUAUUUGUCUGCCAUGAUUUGGCCUGGAAGCUUAAGCAGGAAGACCACUUGGAGCCAGACUUCAGAGUGAUCUGUCUCUAAGGAAUAACUUUCAUAUUGCAGCGUUCGGUUUUGCAAUUCUUCCUAAGCUACUCUAAAUUCGCAGCAUAAAUCUGCAGAAAGACUUCACCCUCCACAUCAAACCCUUAUAAGGAUCCAUUUCUGCUCUCAUUUUAGAAUAUCUUUUCUAAUAGCUAAAGGCAGACAGAGGCAAACCAAGAAAUCCAGACUUUGCAUCAACGGGUUAAAUCAUAUGUCAAAGGUGCAACCAUAACGUAUUACAAGCUUCUCAUCACAUAAUACAUCACUCAAGAAAAAAUAUUUGGGCAGCUUUUCUAAUUCAUCUUCCUGGUGUUAAAGGAGCACAUCUCCAGUGUUCGUGUCUUCUGUUUCAAUUAAAGCAAUCAUGCCUACUCUUUUAGGAAACUACUAAGGUUUAUUACCUCUUUGUUUCACUGCUAAUAUUCAGCUUCUCCUUGUGGUCUCCCCUUCCAAAUACAUAUUUUUUUCUUUCUAUCCGGUUUUGCUUCUCACCACAAUAUACACUUGUGGCUAUUGUUUGAUAAAAUGGCCACUAUAAAGAUGUAACUUGCUUAACAAAUAUCAGCAAGUG